UGGAAUGGCUAAUUCCCCACAUUGACUAUCUUGGCCAUAAAUUUUGAAUUUCGCAGGGAAGGGCGAUAGGGAAAAAUUAUGGAAGUGAACCUGUUGGCAAACUGGAAGUUGCAGAUGGAGAGCCCCUUCAACGAGGUUCCUGCACGGCUACUGCAGGCUGCAGCAUCAUCAGGAUUCACUAAUUCAGCUCGCUGCUGUUCACGAACCUCAAAUCUCGAAUGCUAUAAAAUCUUCCUCUUCCCUCUCCUCCUUCUGGAUUAAAGUUUAUCUUUGUACAAUUUGGAAUUUCAAUUUCGGGCGAUUUU
rnacentral:lncRNA from 1 species